rnacentral:rRNA from 1 species
CGCCUCUUGACUAAAAAUAAGAGGUCCAGCCUGCCCAGUGACAAAUGUUCAACGGCCGCGGUAUCCUAACCGUGCGAAGGUAGCGUAAUCACUUGUUCUUUAAAUGGGGACUAGUAUGAAUGGCAUCACGAGGGUUAUACUGUCUCCUCUCUCUAAUCAGUGAAACUAAUCCCCCCGUGAAGAAGCGGGGAUAAGUAUAUAAGACGAGAAGACCCUAUGGAGCUUUAAAUUUCUCUCUCAGGCACUAAACUUUCAUCUUAAGUCACUGACCCUUAUUACAACUACCACGGCGCUAUGAAGAUGAAUUUUAGGUUGGGGUGACCGCGGAGUACAAAAAAACCUCCACGCCGAACAGGCCUCUUAACCCUUGAGCAAAGGGCCACAACCCAAAGCACUAAAAAACUAACACCCAUUGACCCAAUUUUAAAUGAUCAACGAACCAAGUUACCCUAGGGAUAACAGCGCAAUCUGCUUCAAGAGUUCCUAUCGACAAGCAGGUUUACGACCUCGAUGUUGGAUCAGGGUAUCCCAGUGGUGCAGCCGCUACUAAAGGUUCGU